rnacentral:rRNA from 1 species
AGGAUAAACGCUGGCGGCGUGCCUAACACAUGCAAGUCGAACGCCCUUUUGCUCGCAAGAGCCAGAGGGAGUGGCGGACGGGUGAGUAACACAUGGGUAACCUACCCCCCAGUGAGGAAUACCGGCGAGAAAUCGCCGACAAGACCGCAUAGGCUCGGUCCGGUGAAGCGGAGCGAGCAAAGUCUCUUUUUUGAGAAAGAGGGAGACGCUGAGGGAUGGGCCUGUGGCCGAUUAGCUGGUUGGUAAGGUAAAGGCUUACCAAGGCGACGAUCGGUAGCUGGUCUGAGAGGACGAACAGCCACACUGGGAUUGAGAACGGCCCAGACUCCUACGGGAGGCAGCAGUGGGGAAUAUUGGACAAUGGGCGCAAGCCUGAUCCAGCCAUGCCGCGUGAGUGAUGACGGCCUUAGGGUUGUAAAGCUCUUUCGCUCGGGACGAUAAUGACGGUACCGAGAUAAGAAGCCCCGGCUAACUUCGUGCCAGCAGCCGC